rnacentral:rRNA from 1 species
CUGUCAUGCAGUCGAGCGGACAGAUGGGAGCUUGCUCCCUGAUGUUAGCGGCGGACGGGUGAGUAACACGUGGGUAACCUGCCUGUAAGACUGGGAUAACUCCGGGAAACCGGGGCUAAUACCGGAUGGUUGUUUGAACCGCAUGGUUCAAACAUAAAAGGUGGCUUCGGCUACCACUUACAGAUGGACCCGCGGCGCAUUAGCUAGUUGGUGAGGUAACGGCUCACCAAGGCAACGAUGCGUAGCCGACCUGAGA